rnacentral:rRNA from 1 species
UGGGGAAUAUUGCACAAUGGGCGAAAGCCUGAUGCAGCAACGCCGCGUGAGUGAUGAAGGCCUUCGGGUUGUAAAGCUCUGUCUUUUGGGGCGAACGUGAGUAUGGUGAACAAUCAUAGUCAGUGACGGUACCAAAGGAGGAAGCCACGGCUAACUACGUGCCAGCAGCCGCGGUAAUACGUAGGUGGCAAGCGUUGUCCGGAAUUAUUGGGCGUAAAGAGCGCGUAGGCGGGAUAGUCAGUCUGUUGUAAAGUGCGGGCUCAACCCCGUGAUGGCAAUGGAAACAGCUACUCUUGAGUGCAGGAGAGGAAAGUGGAAUUCCCAGUGUAGCGGUGAAAUGCGUAGAUAUUGGGAGGAACACCAGUGGCGAAGGCGACUUUCUGGACUGUGUCUGACGCUGAGGCGCGAAAGCCAGGGGAGCGAACGGGAUUAGAUACCCCGGUAGUCCUGGCCGUAAACGAUGGGUACUAGGUGUGGGAGGUAUCGACCCCCUUCCGUGCCGGAGUUAACGCAAUAAGUACCCCGCCUGGGGAGUACGGUCGCAAGACUGAAACUUAAAUGAAUUGACGGGGUCAUAGCUGUUUCCUG